GACGAACGCUGGCGGCGUGCUUAACACAUGCAAGUCGAACGGAAAGGCCCUGCUUUUGUGGGGUGCUCGAGUGGCGAACGGGUGAGUAUCACGUGAGUAACCUGCCCUUGACUUUGGGAUAACUUCAGGAAACUGGGGCUCAUACCGGAUAGGAGCUCCUGCUGCAUGGUGGGGGUUGGAAAGUUUCGGCGGUUGGGGAUGGACGCGCGGCUUAUCAGCUUGUUGGUGGGGUAGUGGCUUACCAAGGCUUUGACGGGUAGCCGGCCUGCGAGGGUGACCGGCCACAUUGGGACUGAGAUACGGCCCAGACUCCUACGGGAGGCAGCAGUGGGGAAUAUUGCACAAUGGGCGGAAGCCGGAUGCAGCAACGCCGCGUGCGAGGUGACUGCCUUCGGGGUGUAAACCGCGUUCGCCUGUGACGAAGCGUGAGUGACGGUAAUUGGUAAAGAAGCACCGGCUAACUACGUG
rnacentral:rRNA from 1 species